rnacentral:rRNA from 1 species
ACAUACGACCAUAGACUCAAGAGAACUGGGCAUCCCGUCCGCUCUGCCAUACAUAAGAUCGGUGGAUUAGUACUUGGGUGGGUGACCACCAGCGAAUACCCACUGUUGUAUGUU